CAUGUUUUUCCCAUAAUUCACUCUGGUGGAACGAUGCGCGAGAUGAAGUCCCUGUACGUGAAGGUGAAGAAAAGUCACUGUGGUUGUGCUGCCACGCCUGGCAGGCAUGAGCCCUGUUCGGGACCCUGGCAUUCUCCAGGCGUCUCUGUUUUUGUUGUGUUGCCUCUGGAGAGUCAGCCUUAGGACAGGGUCAGGGAGGCUGACCUGGAGCUGUUGCCCCGGUCUAGGUGAGCAGAGGGGAGAAGCCUGCAGCUCCGGCUCUGCAGUCUAGCCUAGGAAGACCACAGAAUGGGCGGCUUCAUCUCCUCUGGCGAAGGUCCGGACAGAGCACAAGACUGGAGGAAAGGCCUCCUCUGUCCUCAGGGCCUGGGUCCCUGGAGCUUCUGCCUCUUCGAUUUGGACUCUGGGGCCAGCCCUCCCUAUCAGCUGCCCUGCUCCUAGGAUGCUUUGCCUGCCUGGAUGUCCAGCUGCUGCUGGAGGAUCGCGGGACUUCUCGGUACCUGUACCAAAGCUCUUCUUGUCUCUCUCCGUCCUGUGAACGCGGCGGUUCUAUGGAGAAUUACGGUAAAAUGGCUCUCUGGAGCCCUGCCUGGAAGACUUGCUCUCUUAUGUGGUCAGGGAUUUUGUUAUCUCCCAUAAUUCACCCGGGUGUGAGGAACCCAACCGAAAUAUGGGGAGCCCCAGAGGGGCCCUGCAGACGUGCCACACCGGUUCGGCUUGAGCAGCCCAUCUCAGGACCCCUCGACAGUCCGGAUGGUCCACGAGUUGGCUAGGCGAUGCACGCGGCAUUUUUCCAGAAAAACAGCAAGAGGGGUGAAAACUCCCUCGAGAACAAGAUGAACCCUGUGCCCCUGGAGAAAAUGAGCCGCUGUUAAAGUGACCUCGAAACAAACUUGAAGAAACACGACAAGACACUGUGGAGAGGACGGUGAGGAGAGAAGGCACCCAGCGACUGUGUACAGGUGUUUCUGCGGGCUCUGCCCAGCUCCCAGGAACCAGGAGUUGCAGGAGUCACUGGGUGCUCUCUGCUUUCAGCAUUUGCAUCUGUCUGUCUAUCCAUCCGUCUUGAUUCAUUUACUUGACAAUGCUGGAGAGGAACACAGGACUCCCUGAGCUACAGCCCCAGCUCUCCCCACCUUUUAAAAUUAAUUUAAUUUUUUUUUACUUUUAAGUGAAUAAAACCUAACAAAACAGAAUAAAGCCAAUCAAAACAGUGAAGGUGAUACAGGACUUCAAAACAGGGUGAUAGGAAAUCAGCAGUGGCUACCAAAAUGCCCCUUGUCACUGUUGUAAUCCCAAAUACUGAAUACAAUUAUCCAAGUAUUGCAAUCUCUUUUCCAGUUUUCCUCACAAUCCAAAAAGUUAUAUUUGUAAUCCCAUUGAGACAUUAUUGGAAUCUUGGAGCUGACUGACUCUGCCAUCCUGAUGUGCUCAUAUCUUUUACAGAGAGCACUAUGCGAGGAAACAGGGGUCUGAUGGCUUUAGAGAUUACAUAUCAGUACCUCGGCUGGCCUUAUUUGCAAUGCUUAGAAUCAAUUGAGAGAAGGAAAUACCGUAGUCGCUUUGUAUAUAUCAGUAUAAGGAGAUAAGUCUCCAUAUAAUCAAAGUUGCAGCAAUUGUUCUGCAUUCAAGGGGAGACACUGAAGUUGUCUCCUACAGUUACCUUCAAAAUAGUUGUCCAUUCCAUCAGACGUGGUAAAAUCAAACAAAACACAAUGGCAUAAAACCAAUCAAAACAGAGCAUUGAAUAAAACAGCAAUCGGAACAAAAUAGAACAAUAUUGGAUUUCAAAAACAAGACAGAAGGAAAUCCCUUAUUUGCUAUACUGCAUGCUGUCAUCCUCCCAAUAGAUGCUCAGACCACCGGCCUUAGUCCUGCAAAGUCAAUCAAACAACACAGGCUUUCUGUUCUUUUUAAAGUAGAGACAAGGUCUCAUUAAAUUUCUAGGUUGGCCAGGCUGAGACUGAAUUUUCACUUCACCUGUCUCAGCCUCUCAAAGUGCUGGGAUUCCAGGCAUUGGCCACCGUACCUGGCUCAGAACGAAUCCAGUUUUAGUUUGCUUUAGUGGGCUGUGCGCCUGCCACCUGGGGCCUGCCUGUCACUGCUGGGCACUGUGUGUGAGGGGGUUGGGGGACCCUGGGGCAGGCGGGGAGGAAGUUCCCCAUUGAGCUCUAGGUGGGCUCCCGAGCCAUCCUUCAUCUGCAGAGAGCCAGGAGCAGCAACCCUGGAUCUGGCUCCUCUGGAUAUGGGGAGCUGGAUCCCCACUCAGCAAAUGCCUAGGCUCUGGGCUGGGAGAGGAAGGCUAGGGGAGAGUCCUCAGGUCGCAGACUCCUGAAUCCCCGAGGAAGCUCUGCCUGCCCUGGGAGUUCUGGCCAGUGUCCUUCUGGCUAGCUCCCCUCACUGACACACACCCCACCUUGCCUCAUCUAGAUCACACAGAUGGGGGUGAGGGGAGAGGUAGGGGCCCAGGGCACAGCGAAGGAUUUGAACUUCAGAAGUGGGGAAGCCUACAGGCAAGAGCCAGAGAGGGUGAGGGGCCAUGGAAGGUGUGGCUCACGAGGACAGACGGGAGCAGGGUGCCCAGGCAGGGGAGAAGCAGGCACUCAGACCCUGCUGUCUAGGACAGGCCAGGUGCGUGACCCUGGGUGGGGUGAGCUGACUCAGCGCCCAGGCUUGGGCAGGAAAGUUAAUGAUCAAACCCUCAAGCCACCCCCAAGGCUGACCCUGAUGGCCCCACGGGAGCUGGUAGGAGGCUCUGGCCCUGAGCCAGAAAGACCCUGGCUUUUGUAAACUGCCUGGCUCAGGAGUGAGCGCUGCUGAUGAGGAAAAUCACUUUGGCUUGUGCUGCAUCAAGUGGAGCUGGGCACAGUGACUGCCUUGCUGUGGGCAGUGGGUGCAUGGAUGGGGCACAGCUCACUUCUCCUCCCCUCUCUUUCCUCCCCUCCCUACUCCUCCCCUCCCCUCCCCUCCCCUCCCCUCCCCUCCCCUCCUUUCCUCCAUCUCUUGGUCCCCUUCUCUUUUGCACAAGAUCUGUCUCCCUAUUUCUUCAUAUCCAUGUUUUAUUUUGCUCUUUAAUUUGUUUGUACUUUUGGGCAUCUCAUAUAAGAGAAACCCUGUGAUAUUCAAGCUGUGUGUCGUCUGAUUUAUCUCACUGGACAUGGAAGGAUCGGGUGCAUCUAUUUUCCUGCAAAUGACUCACAUUUGUCCUUGAUGGCAGAGUAGUGUACUCCAGUAUAUACGAAUACCACAUUUUCUUUAUCCAUCAUCUAUCAAUGGACACAUAGGCAGCUCCCAAGCUUUAGCU